CAGAGCUGGAAGCUGCUAGUCCUGCGUCCUUUCCCCUAGCAGGCUCUGAUGAGAAGUUGCAAGUGGGGGAUUAGCCUAUCCCAGCACCCAUCUCAUCACCUCCUGAUGAGACUGAUACCUGCAACAGCCACCUCACAGCCCAAUGAUUUCAAAACUUUCCAGGACUUGCUGAACAGGAUGACAGACUCACUGGAAUCUCUACUGUAGAUUGUCCCGGGAGAAAUUGUACAAGUUCCUGGAUCUCUGAAACACCUCUGUGCUUGGGUGCCUGGCAAUGCCAUCAAUGAGUGGCUAGUGGAGACUGCCAAGUUAUUCUGGCAAACACCUGCUUCCCUAGUUAACA